rnacentral:rRNA from 1 species
AAAUUGAAGAGUUUGAUCAUGGCUCAGAUUGAACGCUGGCGGCAGGCCUAAACACAUGCAAGUCGAGCGGUAGCACAGAGAGCUUGCUCUCGGGUGACGAGCGGCGGACGGUGUGAGUAAUGUCUGGGAAACUGCCUGAUGGAGGGGGAUAACUACUGGAAACGGUAGCUAAUACCGCAUAACGUCGCAAGACCAAAGUGGGGGACCUUCGGGCCUCAUGCCAUCAGAUGUGCCCAGAUGGGAUUAGCUAGUAGGUGGGGUAACGGCUCACCUAGGCGACGAUCCCUAGCUGGUCUGAGAGGAUGACCAGCCACACUGGAACUGAGACACGGUCCAGACUCCUACGGGAGGCAGCAGUGGGGAAUAUUGCACAAUGGGCGCAAGCCUGAUGCAGCCAUGCCGCGUGUGUGAAGAAGGCCUUCGGGUUGUAAAGCACUUUCAGCGGGGAGGAAGGCGAUAAGGUUAAUAACCUUGUCGAUUGACGUUACCCGCAGAAGAAGCACCGGCUAACUCCGUGCCAGCAGCCGCGGUAAUACGGAGGGUGCAAGCGUUAAUCGGAAUUACUGGGCGUAAAGCGCACGCAGGCGGUCUGUCAAGUCGGAUGUGAAAUCCCCGGGCUCAACCUGGGAACUGCAUUCGAAACUGGCAGGCUAGAGUCUUGUAGAGGGGGGUAGAAUUCCAGGUGUAGCGGUGAAAUGCGUAGAGAUCUGGAGGAAUACCGGUGGCGAAGGCGGCCCCCUGGACAAAGACUGACGCUCAGGUGCGAAAGCGUGGGGAGCAAACAGGAUUAGAUACCCUGGUAGUCCACGCCGUAAACGAUGUCGAUUUGGAGGUUGUGCCCUUGAGGCGUGGCUUCCGGAGCUAACGCGUUAAAUCGACCGCCUGGGGAGUACGGCCGCAAGGUUAAAACUCAAAUGAAUUGACGGGGGCCCGCACAAGCGGUGGAGCAUGUGGUUUAAUUCGAUGCAACGCGAAGAACCUUACCUGGUCUUGACAUCCACAGAACUUUCCAGAGAUGGAUUGGUGCCUUCGGGAACUGUGAGACAGGUGCUGCAUGGCUGUCGUCAGCUCGUGUUGUGAAAUGUUGGGUUAAGUCCCGCAACGAGCGCAACCCUUAUCCUUUGUUGCCAGCGGUUAGGCCGGGAACUCAAAGGAGACUGCCAGUGAUAAACUGGAGGAAGGUGGGGAUGACGUCAAGUCAUCAUGGCCCUUACGACCAGGGCUACACACGUGCUACAAUGGCAUAUACAAAGAGAAGCGACCUCGCGAGAGCAAGCGGACCUCAUAAAGUAUGUCGUAGUCCGGAUUGGAGUCUGCAACUCGACUCCAUGAAGUCGGAAUCGCUAGUAAUCGUAGAUCAGAAUGCUACGGUGAAUACGUUCCCGGGCCUUGUACACACCGCCCGUCACACCAUGGGAGUGGGUUGCAAAAGAAGUAGGUAGCUUAACCUUCGGGAGGGCGCUUACCACUUUGUGAUUCAUGACUGGGGUGAAGUCGUAACAAGGUAACCGUAGGGGAACCUGCGGUUGGAUCACCUCCUUACCUUAAAGAA